AUUGAACGCUGGCGGCAUGCCUUACACAUGCAAGUCGAACGGCAGCACGGGAGCAAUCCUGGUGGCGAGUGGCGAACGGGUGAGUAAUAUAUCGGAACGUGCCCAGUCGUGGGGGAUAACGUAGCGAAAGCUACGCUAAUACCGCAUACGAUCUACGGAUGAAAGCGGGGGACUCGCAAGAGCCUCGCGCGAUUGGAGCGGCCGAUAUCAGAUUAGGUAGUUGGUGGGGUAAAGGCUCACCAAGCCAACGAUCUGUAGCUGGUCUGAGAGGACGACCAGCCACACUGGAACUGAGACACGGUCCAGACUCCUACGGGAGACAGCAGUGGGGAAUUUUGGACAAUGGACGCAAGUCUGAUCCAGCCAUUCCGCGUGCAGGAUGAAGGCCCUCGGGUUGUAAACUGCUUUGUACGGAACGAAAAGGUUUCUAUUAAUACUAGGAGCUCAUGACGGUACCGUAAGAAUAAGCACCGGCUAACUACGUG
rnacentral:rRNA from 1 species